ACACUAUGACGAGUCCCAAAAAGGACGAAACGCGCGUCCUGUAU
rnacentral:hammerhead_ribozyme from 1 species